GUAAUUCAUUAUUGUAAGUCGCUUUGGACAAAAGCGUCUGCCAAAUGAAAUGUA
rfam:Astyanax mexicanus chromosome 17, whole genome shotgun sequence.